UACGUAGGGGGCGAGCGUUGUCCGGAGUUACUGGGCGUAAAGCGUGCGCAGGCGGCUUCUCAAGUCAGGGGUGAAAGCCCAGAGCUCAACUCUGGAAUUGCCUUUGAGACUGAGUGGCUUGAGUACGAGAGAGGUGAGUGGAAUUCCCAGUGUAGAGGUGAAAUUCGUAGAUAUUGGGAAGAACACCGGUGGCGAAGGCGGCUCACUGGCUCGUAACUGACGCUGAGAUGCGAAAGCGUGGGGAGCAAACAGG
rnacentral:rRNA from 1 species